AGAGUUUGAUCCUGGCUCAGGAUGAACGCUGGCGGCGUGCUUAACACAUGCAAGUCGAACGAUGAUCCCAGCUUGCUGGGGGAUUAGUGGCGAACGGGUGAGUAACACGUGAGUAACCUGCCCUUAACUCUGGGAUAAGCCUGGGAAACUGGGUCUAAUACCGGAUAUGACUCCUCAUCGCAUGGUGGGGGGUGGAAAGCUUUAUUGUGGUUUUGGAUGGACUCGCGGCCUAUCAGCUUGUUGGCGAGGUAAUGGCUCACCAAGGCGACGACGGGUAGCCGGCCUGAGAGGGUGACCGGCCACACUGGGACUGAGACACGGCCCAGACUCCUACGGGAGGCAGCAGUGGGGAAUAUUGCACAAUGGGCGAAAGCCUGAUGCAGCGACGCCGCGUGAGGGAUGACGGCCUUCGGGUUGUAAACCUCUUUCAGUAGGGAAGAAGCGAAAGUGACGGUACCUGCAGAAGAAGCGCCGGCUAACUACGUGCCAGCAGCCGCGGUAAUACGUAGGGCGCAAGCGUUAUCCGGAAUUAUUGGGCGUAAAGAGCUCGUAGGCGGUUUGUCGCGUCUGCCGUGAAAGUCCGGGGCUCAACUCCGGAUCUGCGGUGGGUACGGGCAGACUAGAGUGAUGUAGGGGAGACUGGAAUUCCUGGUGUAGCGGUGAAAUGCGCAGAUAUCAGGAGGAACACCGAUGGCGAAGGCAGGUCUCUGGGCAUUAACUGACGCUGAGGAGCGAAAGCAUGGGGAGCGAACAGGAUUAGAUACCCCUGUAGUCC
rnacentral:rRNA from 1 species